rnacentral:lncRNA from 1 species
AUUGGUUAGGAGUGAGGACUGUUGUUUUUAAAUUGAGUACUGAAGAAGAGCAGCACUGAAAAGAGAAUCAUUAGGCAGAGAGCUGAAGGAAUAAUAAUGAGAAAUGUGUCUAUCUCAAAGAGAAAAUAUUUCAGAGAAAGAAAACUGAAAGUUCAAAACCGUGGGGUGAGAAGAUGUAUGGCCUGGUAGGAAAGAGCAAGAGUCCAGUGUGUCUGGGCACAGGCUGAGGUACCAGAGAAGAGCACAAAGAGACAACCUAAGCCCAGAUCAUGUACAGCUUUUCAGUUCAGGAUAGGGAAGACACUGGAAAUCUUGAGCAAGAAACAAGCAAAAUCCACCCUUGUGCUCCCCAAAGUGUGAUUUGGAGGUUGGUGCCAAUCCGUGAGCAGUCCCUUACAGGUUCCUGACAAAACAACCACACAAAUUAGGAAUAAGCAUUUAAAUCUUGUUACAGAAAUCUUAUUUCUUCUUAUCAUUGAAAUGUAAUUUCCAUGUUUUGAAUCUGAUAAUAAAUAUGACUUGUAUUUUUUAUGUCAUUUUAAAUUUUAUUUUUCUAGUAAUUCCUUUUGUAACAGCUUACAUGAUGAUCCAUGAUGGAACAGAAAUUUCUUAAAUAUUUCUUUAUCACUGAUAGUUUGAGAAGGACUGGGUUAAACUGCAUUUUAAAAGGAUCAUUCUAGUUUGCCAUCUGGAGGACAAACAAG